rnacentral:rRNA from 1 species
UACGUAGGGAGCAAGCGUUGUCCGGAAUCAUUGGGCGUAAAGCGCGCGUAGGCGGCCCCGUAAGUCCGCUGUGAAAGUCAAAGGCUCAACCUUUGAAAGCCGGGUGGAUACUGUGGGGCUAGAGUACGGAAGAGGCGAGUGGAAUUCCUGGUGUAGCGGUGGAAUGCGCAGAUAUCAGGAGGAACACCGGUGGCGAAGGCGGCAUCCUGGACCAACACUGACGCUGAUGAGCGAAAGCCAGGGGAGCAAACGGG